rnacentral:rRNA from 1 species
CCUACGGGAGGCAGCAGUAAGGAAUAUUGGACAAUGGUCGCAAGACUGAUCCAGCCAUGCCGCGUGCAGGAUGACAGCCCUAUGGGUCGUAAACUGCUUUUGUGCGAGAAAAAACCCCCUCUACGUGUAGAGGGCUGAUUGUAUCGUAAGAAUAAGGAUCGGCUAACUCCGUGCCAGCAGCCGCGGUAAUACGGAGGAUCCAAGCGUUAUCCGGAUUCAUUGGGUUUAAAGGGUGCGUAGGCGGAAUGAUAAGUCAGUGGUGAAAGCCUGCAGCUUAACUGCAGAACUGCCAUUGAUACUGUCAAUCUUGAGUACAUUUGAUGUGGGCGGAAUGUGUCAUGUAGCGGUGAAAUGCUUAGAUAUGACACAGAACACCGAUUGCGAAGGCAGCUCACAAAACUGUAACUGACGCUGAGGCACGAAAGCGUGGGUAUCAAACAGGAUUAGAUACCCUGGUAGUCCACGCUGUAAACUAUGAUUACUCGAUGUUUGCGAUACACUGUAAGCGUCUAAGCGAAAGCGAUAAGUAAUCCGACCGUGGGGAGUACGCUCGACAAGAGUUGAAACUUAAAUUGAAUUGACGGG